AGCUUUGCGCAGUGGCAGUAUCAUAGCCAAUGAGGUUUAUCCAAGGCACAAUCAUUGCUGGUUAUUGCUAAUUGAAAACAAGAAUUAUUUUACAUUGUCUGGUGGAAUUUUCAGUGUAUAUGCA
ensembl:snRNA U4 U4 spliceosomal RNA